UCCGUCAACUAAUGGGCUACUAGAUUUCUUUUACAUAAUUACAGCAGAACUAAAACUGCUUAAGUGACGGAAUACUUUAAGAAACAUUUGGCGUCAUCAGAUGUGGAGAAAGCCUGCGGAGUAUAUUGGGUUAACAAAUUUAGCACUUAACUGUUAGGAAUGACGCUCCUAACAGUUUUUU
rnacentral:ncRNA from 1 species